UACGUAGGGCGCAAGCGUUAUCCGGAAUUAUUGGGCGUAAAGAGCUCGUAGGCGGUUUGUCGCGUCUGCCGUGAAAGUCCGGGGCUCAACUCCGGAUCUGCGGUGGGUACGGGCAGACUAGAGUGAUGUAGGGGAGACUGGAAUUCCUGGUGUAGCGGUGAAAUGCGCAGAUAUCAGGAGGAACACCGAUGGCGAAGGCAGGUCUCUGGGCAUUAACUGACGCUGAGGCGCGAAAGCGCGGGGAUCAAACAGG
rnacentral:rRNA from 1 species